AAAUUGAAGAGUUUGAUCAUGGCUCAGAUUGAACGCUGGCGGCAGGCCUAACACAUGCAAGUCGAACGGUAACAGGAAACAGCUUGCUGUUUCGCUGACGAGUGGCGGACGGGUGAGUAAUGUCUGGGAAACUGCCUGAUGGAGGGGGAUAACUACUGGAAACGGUAGCUAAUACCGCAUAACGUCGCAAGACCAAAGAGGGGGACCUUCGGGCCUCUUGCCAUCGGAUGUGCCCAGAUGGGAUUAGCUAGUAGGUGGGGUAACGGCUCACCUAGGCGACGAUCCCUAGCUGGUCUGAGAGGAUGACCAGCCACACUGGAACUGAGACACGGUCCAGACUCCUACGGGAGGCAGCAGUGGGGAAUAUUGCACAAUGGGCGCAAGCCUGAUGCAGCCAUGCCGCGUGUAUGAAGAAGGCCUUCGGGUUGUAAAGUACUUUCAGCGGGGAGGAAGGGAGUAAAGUUAAUACCUUUGCUCAUUGACGUUACCCGCAGAAGAAGCACCGGCUAACUCCGUGCCAGCAGCCGCGGUAAUACGGAGGGUGCAAGCGUUAAUCGGAAUUACUGGGCGUAAAGCGCACGCAGGCGGUUUGUUAAGUCAGAUGUGAAAUCCCCGGGCUCAACCUGGGAACUGCAUCUGAUACUGGCAAGCUUGAGUCUCGUAGAGGGGGGUAGAAUUCCAGGUGUAGCGGUGAAAUGCGUAGAGAUCUGGAGGAAUACCGGUGGCGAAGGCGGCCCCCUGGACGAAGACUGACGCUCAGGUGCGAAAGCGUGGGGAGCAAACAGGAUUAGAUACCCUGGUAGUCCACGCCGUAAACGAUGUCGACUUGGAGGUUGUGCCCUUGAGGCGUGGCUUCCGGAGCUAACGCGUUAAGUCGACCGCCUGGGGAGUACGGCCGCAAGGUUAAAACUCAAAUGAAUUGACGGGGGCCCGCACAAGCGGUGGAGCAUGUGGUUUAAUUCGAUGCAACGCGAAGAACCUUACCUGGUCUUGACAUCCACGGAAGUUUUCAGAGAUGAGAAUGUGCCUUCGGGAACCGUGAGACAGGUGCUGCAUGGCUGUCGUCAGCUCGUGUUGUGAAAUGUUGGGUUAAGUCCCGCAACGAGCGCAACCCUUAUCCUUUGUUGCCAGCGGUCCGGCCGGGAACUCAAAGGAGACUGCCAGUGAUAAACUGGAGGAAGGUGGGGAUGACGUCAAGUCAUCAUGGCCCUUACGACCAGGGCUACACACGUGCUACAAUGGCGCAUACAAAGAGAAGCGACCUCGCGAGAGCAAGCGGACCUCAUAAAGUGCGUCGUAGUCCGGAUUGGAGUCUGCAACUCGACUCCAUGAAGUCGGAAUCGCUAGUAAUCGUGGAUCAGAAUGCCACGGUGAAUACGUUCCCGGGCCUUGUACACACCGCCCGUCACACCAUGGGAGUGGGUUGCAAAAGAAGUAGGUAGCUUAACCUUCGGGAGGGCGCUUACCACUUUGUGAUUCAUGACUGGGGUGAAGUCGUAACAAGGUAACCGUAGGUGAACCUGCGGUUGGAUCACCUCCUUACCUUAAAGAAGC
rnacentral:rRNA from 1 species